rnacentral:rRNA from 1 species
CGAUGGGCCGACGUCGCAUGCUCCCGGCCGCCAUGGUUAGAGUUUGAUCCUGGCUCAGAUUGAACGCUGGCGGCAUGCCUUACACAUGCAAGUCGAACGGCAGCACGGGAGCAAUCCUGGUGGCGAGUGGCGAACGGGUGAGUAAUAUAUCGGAACGUGCCCAGUAGUGGGGGAUAGCCCGGCGAAAGCCGGAUUAAUACCGCAUACGACCUGUGGGUGAAAGCGGGGGAUCGCAAGACCUCGCGCUAUUGGAGCGGCCGAUAUCAGAUUAGCUUGUUGGUGGGGUAAAAGCCCACCAAGGCGACGAUCUGUAGCUGGUCUGAGAGGACGACCAGCCACACUGGGACUGAGACACGGCCCAGACUCCUACGGGAGGCAGCAGUGGGGAAUUUUGGACAAUGGGCGCAAGCCUGAUCCAGCCAUGCCGCGUGUGGGAAGAAGGCCUUCGGGUUGUAAACCGCUUUUGUCAGGGAAGAAACGGUUUGUCCUAAUACGGCGGACUAAUGACGGUACCUGAAGAAUAAGCACCGGCUAACUACGUGCCAGCAGCCGCGGUAAUACGUAGGGUGCAAGCGUUAAUCGGAAUUACUGGGCGUAAAGCGUGCGCAGGCGGCUUUGCAAGACAGAUGUGAAAUCCCCGGGCUCAACCUGGGAACUGCAUUUGUGACUGCAUGGCUAGAGUACGGUAGAGGGGGGAUGGAAUUCCGCGUGUAGCAGUGAAAUGCGUAGAUAUGCGGAGGAACACCGAUGGCGGAAGGCAAUCCCC